GGGGUGACUAGUGACAGAGUGAGGGAAGGGGUGACUAGUGGCAGAGUGAGGAAAGGAAGGGGUGACUAGUGACAGAGUGAGGGAGGUGGUGACUGUCACUAGUCACCACCUCCCUCACUCUGUCACUACUCCCUCCCUCUUUCUGUCACUAGUCACCCCCUCCGUCCCUUACUCUGUCACUAGUCACCCCUUAACUCACUAUGUCACCAGUCAUCCGCUCACUCUGUCACCAGUCAUCCCUUCCUUCCCUCACUCUGCCACCAGUCAUUCCCUCACUCUAGUGA